rnacentral:rRNA from 1 species
AUACCUGGCGGCAUGCUUACACAUGCAAGUCGAACGGCAGCACGGAGCUUGCUCUGGUGGCGAGUGGCGAACGGGUGAGUAAUAUAUCGGAACGUACCCAAGAGUGGGGGAUAACGUAGCGAAAGUUACGCUAAUACCGCAUACGAUCUAAGGAUGAAAGCAGGGGACCGCAAGGCCUUGUGCUCCUGGAGCGGCCGAUAUCUGAUUAGCUAGUUGGUGAGGUAAAGGCUCACCAAGGCAUCGAUCAGUAGCUGGUCUGAGAGGACGACCAGCCACACUGGAACUGAGACACGGUCCAGACUCCUACGGGAGGCAGCAGUGGGGAAUUUUGGACAAUGGGGGCAACCCUGAUCCAGCAAUGCCGCGUGAGUGAAGAAGGCCUUCGGGUUGUAAAGCUCUUUUGUCAGGGAAGAAACGGUGAAGGCUAAUAUCCUUUGCUAAUGACGGUACCUGAAGAAUAAGCACCGGCUAACUACGUGCCAGCAGCCGCGGUAAUACGUAGGGUGCAAGCGUUAAUCGGAAUUACUGGGCGUAAAGCGUGCGCAGGCGGUUUUGUAAGACUGUCGUGAAAUCCCCGGGCUCAACCUGGGAAUGGCGAUGGUGACUGCAAGGCUAGAGUUUGGCAGAGGGGGGUAGAAUUCCACGUGUAGCAGUGAAAUGCGU